UUAUUGUCAAAACAAAUUAAAAAAGAAAAAAUCCAUCUUUUAUCAAAUGGGUAUGUGCACAUGAGAUUACUGAAAUGUUAAUAAUAUAUUGAGAAAUUAUUUGCUUUAAGAGCAGAGAAAAUUGGAAUUUUGCAAUGGGGAGAGGAAUGGGAGGAAGUAGCAGAACUGUACGGCUACUAAAACCAAGAGAAAUAGUUAAUAUAUAUUAAAAAAAUCAGGUUUUUUAAAUAAAUAAAUAAAUUUAAUAAAGUACAAUAUAUAAAAAAUUGAAAAAAAAAUCUAAUAUUUUGGCCGAGAAACCAAUGAUAGAGUGGCACGUUAGACAGAAAACGGCGGUGGCCAGUGAAAUAUUUAUCAGCUUGGGUUUUGCCAGUCACUUGUCAGUGAGCAUUUUCAUUUUCAUACUUUUCUGCUAUUGUCCAUGGGACCACGCCUACUCAACCUUUUUUUUUUAAUAUUUUAAAUUUUUUACAGUUAAUUUUUCUAAAAUUUUUAAUAAACGAGUAAAAAAUAUAAUAAAUAAAUUAAUAAUUCAAUAAUUGAGUAUAAUUUUAUAAUUUAAAAAUUAAAUUAUGAUAUCUUUUUAAAAAAAAUGCAAAAAAUAAAAAGGAAAAAUACAAUAACAAGGGUAGUAAUCAAAUUAGUUGGCAGUUCAGUUGGCGACAUCAUGCACUACAUCUCACCUUUUUUUUUUUAAUUUAUAUUUCUUGUUAAUGUCCUUUUUGAGCAGAGCUUUCUCACUUACAACCAUGCAGGAUCUGUGCUUCUAUAAUGUGUGAUGAAACUCCAUCAGUCCUUCAAAUUCAUUAAUUGAAUUCAACUAGAAAAUUGGG
rnacentral:misc_RNA from 1 species